rnacentral:rRNA from 1 species
CGACCGGCGCACGGGUGAGUAACACGUAUGCAACUUGGCCGUCACAGGUGGAUAACCGGAAGAAAUUCCGACUAAUACAGCAUAACACUCCUGAGGGACAUCCUUCGGGAGUCAAAGGAGGCAACUCCGGUGACGGAUGGGCAUGCGGCGCAUUAGGUAGUUGGUAGGGUAACGGCCUACCAAGCCGACGAUGCGUAGGGGUUCUGAGAGGAAGGUCCCCCACAUUGGAACUGAGACACGGUCCAAACUCCUACGGAAGGCAGCAG